rnacentral:rRNA from 1 species
CACGCCGCGGUAAUACGAAGGGUGCAAGCGUUAAUCGGAAUUACUGGGCGUAAAGCGUGCGUAGGCGGUGAGUUAAGUCUGCUGUGAAAUCCCCGGGCUCAACCUGGGAAUGGCAGUGGAUACUGGCUCGCUAGAGUGUGUCAGAGGAUGGUGGAAUUCCCGGUGUAGCGGUGAAAUGCGUAGAGAUCGGGAGGAACAUCAGUGGCGAAGGCGGCCAUCUGGGACAACACUGACGCUGAGGCACGAAAGCGUGGGGAGCAAACAGGAUUAGAGACCCCCGUAGUCCCUGUCUCUUAUACAC